AUGCGGCCAGAGGGCUGCCCGGGAGCGGGCACUCAGCACAGUGAAAUCCUUGUCUGUCCUCCACGUGCUUCUUUGCUGUCCCUUGUCUCUGCCACACCAGACUGUCCAGGGAACAGUGUCCGGGGCAGGAAAGAUGAGCCCAGGGUCUUGGGUGGGCAUCGACCCUCAUUGGUCUACAGCUUCUGGGAAAUGUGGCAGAUUGCUUCUGGGCCUCAUGGCUGUUGCUGGGGUGCAGGAAAUAAGGUAGAUUUCUCUCUUGUUCACUCAAGAAAUUGCUUGAAUGUAAAUUUUUUCAUCUAUGUUAACAUAUACCUACCUACCUCACCACUCUUUCUCAGAUGCCGUGGAGCAUAUGCCAACCUGCAGUGGGAUGCAUGUCUCCCUCCAAGAAGAGGAAGCACCGCCUCUCAGGGCACCCCGCUUUUGACUCAGGUUUUACGAUUUUACUUCCAAACACUGAGGCAGCGAUUCUCCCAAUCUCUUCGCAACUUCUCCUGGACUUUAUUUCCAAGCAUUUGGGCACAUACUUCUCUCUCAAUUCUCACUUAUCCAGAAGAGAUGAUAUUUUCAGCACCAUUUCAACAGAUGGUAUAAAAAAUCAUUCAGUGAAGCUGAAUAUCUUUCCCAAAGUCACAGAACUCGUUAGCAGCAGAAUGAAUGAAAAAUGCAGGUCCAAGAGCUUACCUGGUAUCCAGUGGUAGGACUCUGUGUGUUCAGUGCAGGGGACUUGGGUUCAAUCUCUGGUUGGGUAACAGAUCCCACAUGUUGUGGGGCCUGGCCAAAAUAAAUGCACAAAAGAAAGAAAAGAAGAGAAAAUGAGCUUCAAAAUUCUCUUUAAAAAAUGUAGGUCCUAAGCCCAAGGUUCCACCUACAAGGCAAGAUCAUUAUUUCCAGGUUCAUGUAUUCAUUCAUUUGUCCUUGCCAUUAUUGUGAUCACGUUGGGCAUGGACUGAUGAUCCAGAAAGUGUUCUUAUAAAGCACAUAAAUACUGCAUGAUCUCCACAACAUAGAUAAGGGAGCAAGACAUAUUUAGCAGAAAGAAAAAUACUAUGUAGACAAAGGAACUAGAGGACAGAACCAGACCACAGUAGGACUAUCACUGCAAGAUAGUAGAGCUCAGGUACAAAAUCAAAGGGACUGAUAGCCUGAGAGAGCAGAGACUUCUGUGGGCUAGAGUGGUUCAAGAAGUUUUUCUAAAAAUCAGUUUCUUUUUCCUUCACUGUUAAAAUAGUUUUUAAAAUUGAGAUAUAAUUGACAUAUAGCAUUAUAUUCAUAUAUGCAUGCAUUGUGAAACCAUAAGUUUAUUUAACAUCCAUCUC
rnacentral:lncRNA from 1 species